rnacentral:siRNA from 1 species
GGAAUCCAGAUGGUUACA